UACAGAGGUCUCAACCGUUGUUCGGAUUCAUUGGGCGUAAAGGGUGCGUAGGCGGCGGGGUAAGUCAGGUGUGAAAUCUCGGGGCUCAACCCCGAAACUGCACUUGAUACUGUCUCGCUUGAGUACUGGAGAGGAGACUGGAAUUUACGGUGUAGCAGUGAAAUGCGUAGAUAUCGUAAGGAAGACCAGUGGCGAAGGCGGGUCUCUGGACAGUUCCUGACGCUGAGGCACGAAGGCCAGGGGAGCAAACGGG
rnacentral:rRNA from 1 species